CCUUGGAAGUGUUAGACCACUUGAGUAGUAUUAGAAAUAAUGCGAAAAAGAACACAAUGAAUAAGGAA
rnacentral:sRNA from 15 species